rnacentral:misc_RNA from 1 species
GAUGAAGAACGUAGCGAAAUGCGAUACGUAAUGUGAAUUGCAGAAUUCAGUGAAUCAUCGAGUCUUUGAACGCACAUUGCGCCCCCUGGUAUUCCGGGGGGCAUGCCUGUCCGAGCGUCAUUACAACCCUCAAGCUCAGCUUGGUAUUGGGCCCCGCCGACCCGGCGGGCCCUAAAGUCAGUGGCGGUGCCGUCCGGCUCCGAGCGUAGUAAUUCUUCUCGCUCUGGAGGUCCGGUCGUGUGCUCGCCAGCGACCCCCAAUUUUUUUCAGGUUGACCUCGGAUCAGGUAGGGAUACCCGCUGAACUUAAGCAUAUCAAUAAGCGGAGGA